rnacentral:lncRNA from 1 species
CCAUCCUCGAUGGCUUGUUAAUAUUGCCGUGUUAUGGAUCAAUGACAACUGAUCAACAGAGGAGGAUAUUUUUGCCACCGCCACCUGGAAUUAGAAAAUGUGUCAUAUCCACCAAUAUUUCUGCAACGUCUUUGACAAUAGAUGGAACCAGAUAUGUGGUAGAUGGUGGCUUUGUGAAGCAGUUAAAUCACAACCCCAGAUUAGGGUUGGACAUCCUGGAGGUGGUUCCAAUUUCAAAGAGCGAGGCAUUACAGCGAAGUGGCCGAGCUGGCAGGACUUCUUCAGGAAAA